rnacentral:lncRNA from 1 species
GGAAACCCAUCGCUGCCACCGGCUCCACGGCCUCUAUAAAAUACCACCGGAGCCUUCCUCGUAUCGGAGGAUUUGAUUGACGUCUCUUCUCUUCUCUUCCCCCUCUCGUCGGGUAAGUCGCAGGUAUGGCCAUGGGGUAAUCGGUUCAGAUCUCGCGCUCCUUGUUUCGCUGUUCGUCGUUUGAUUGUAAUUCCAGGCGAGCGUUUCUGUCUGGGUUGUGGUGCUCCUUACGUUGAUUUCGAUCGAGGCGUAGUUCCGGUGAUUUGUCCUCCUCCGUUCCGGUGAUGUUGGUAUCGUCUUCUGAACCUCGCUGCUUUGGUUUAGGUCGCAGCUAAUCUAUUUUGCUUUGACUUCUGAUCUGAUUUAGGGUCGUGGCUAAUCCAUCAUGCUGAUUGCGAUAUGAUUUAGGGUCGUGGCUUAUCCAUUUUUAUCCUAAUUGCUGAUUUGAUUCAAGGCUGUCACGAUUAAUGGAGAUUAUUUUUGGCGAGAGCAACCAGUUGUGUUAGUUUAAUGGAGAUUAUUUAAACGUGGAGCAGUUUAUUUGCUUUCAUCUCUGUUCGUUACGGUGGAUUGGUCUUGGUCGGUUUAGUUGAUUCCUUGGAGAUGUUUGACAUGAUCGGAAUAAGAGAUUGAAGGUUGAGUGGUUUGGAUUGGUCUGUUCCAUUGGUGAUUCAAUAAUGUUCUGCGUACAGUGCUUUAUCUUUUUGCGGUGAAAAACAGUGAUUUGGGAGACAGUCCAGACAGUCAAAUUUCUGCAGUUUUUCUGCUUUUGAUCCCGUUCUUUCAUGACUUAGUCAGAUUCAAUAAGAGUUAGAGGAAAAAGGUUUGCUAUGCCUAUCCGGAUAUAUUUGCUUUCGCCUAGCAGCCUAUGCAUGUCAGACCAUAUCAAAGGGAUUUUGCUAUGUUGUGUGCCGUGUUAUAAAUGUAGAGCUGGGAUAUGUAUUUCUUGAACUGUGUGGACAUGCUCAUGGUGGAGAUUCUUCAGUGGCUAUAUUUAGGUGUCACCUUUUGAUUGGUUUCAUUUCAAGAUCUAAGUCAUUUCAAGAUCCCUAAGAAUAUUGGAGGUGCUUGUUUUGUUUACGUGCUAGAUGUAACUUUCUUGGGAAGUACCUUCAAAGAACAUGGAAGUUUGCUUUUGAAGUAACUUGUUCGAAGUUUCAAGUACAUUGAAGAAAGCUGCUGAACUAGUUUACUGCCUGCUGUGUUUUUCUCGGGUGGCACAUCAAGGUCUAUUCAGAUGCUGAUUACUGUGUUGGAAUCUACCAAUCAUUCUGAUCUCUAGUUUGUGAUUUUGAUUUUCUACAUGGAUAUUCGGUUGGGCUUCCGCUGGUUUACAUGCUCCAUCCAGUGUUGGAUUAGUCUUUGCUUGUUAUUAGCAUUCUUACUGUAAUUUAUAGUCAUGUUUUCUUCAUGCAAUUUAUGUUUAUGUUGUACACAAUCAUCAAUUAUGCAUCCUGUAUGAUGUUAUUGGUGUAAUUAUUGAAUGAUAUAUGGGUGAGCCCUUCAUCGUCGUUUGGUUGGGUGCAUAAAAGCUGUAAUAAAUAGCAACUGAAUUUCAUAGCUUGAUGUGUUUCUUUGUUGACAUUAAUACAUUUGUGUUCAUUCCCCUAAUCUCAAGAUAACAAUUAUCACUUUUUGAGCUGUCAUUUUGAACUUCCACAGUGGUUUUCAUUCCUGUGUUCGAUCACUUAAACUGAUAAGUAUGGUGCUUGUAUUCUUUUUAGGUGCUGUCUUUAGUCGUGCACAAGAUCCCUUUUAAUGAUGACAUUAGUUGCUUGUAUUUAAUCUUGAUUCUGCAUCAUUCACGAGUGCCACAUUCUAUAGCUAUUUUAUGUAGUUUGGUAUUAUGCUUCAAGUAUAUUCGAGUCUUCUAUGUUUGCAUUAUUUACAGUCUGCUUUUACUCUUGGAGUUUCCUCACUGUUCAGUGUGAAUUAUUUGAUUUGUAACGAUUUCACAUAGUAUUCGAAGGCAAAUAUUGUGUGAUAAGUGUGAAUUAUGAUUUCAUAUUUGUUCUAAGCUUAUGUUGUUUACAAUUUAUUUCCAACCUGUCAGUGAAUUAUGAUUUUAGUUCAUGUGCUUAGGUCUACCAAUGUUUUUAGAACUCAGCCAAUAACUAUCAACAGUUUUAAGUCACAAUCUACCUUAAUUAUAAGCACAUGGCACAUACCGUUAACUUUCCCCCUUAUUUGGUUGAGAUUAUAAGCAUGACACAAUACUGUUUUUGCUUUGGUUCUACUUUCCCCCACUUAUUGGUUGAGAUGAUAAGCAUGUCAUGCACAAUGAUUAGAACAUUUUAAUCUGUUUUGAGCUUACUUGAAAAUUUUAUUUGUCCCUGAUACGUUGUGCUGUCAUUUUUAUCUCUUCAAUAGAAGGUCACGAUUAGAAAGGUGAAGGGAGGCCUGUAGUUGUUGCAUAAGUAUAUGGAUGCGGGCUUCUGUUUGUAUACUAGUUCUCAUCAAUUUAUAAACUAACCGAGUCAUAUCCUCUUGACCAGUUAUAUUUGUCGUGCUUGCUUAACCACUCUUAAAUUUCUUGGGUACAGUCUGCAUAGUCUAAUUUUGACACAUCUUCUUGUAAUGUCAAUAAUGUAUGUGUUGUUUCAGUGUUCCAAUUCCCACAAUCAUUUCCUUUUGCUUGGCAUAGAACCAUGGUUCUAUCUGAUGAAAUUAUUUAUGCAAGACUCUUGCUUCUGUCCACUGUUCACAUGAAUUUUUUAUGGUUAAUGUCAAUGUUAAAGUGAUGUUACGAGCUGAGUAGGUGUUAGUACGUUCUAUGCUGGUAUUGUUUAGUUACCUUGAAAUACAUUUUAUCUGUGUGGUGGUCGCAAGCUUAGUUUUAAUUCUCAACCUUGGUGGUCAUAUAUAAGUCGGUAGCUUCGGAUGUGUUCCUAGUUUCCUAUAAGCUCGUUCUUCUAUUCGGAACCUGAUGCUAUCCUUGUGCUACAUGUAUGUCUAAAAAUUUCCCUCUGAAUAUUCCUGCCUUCCUUUUCUGCUUGGAAAUUUUAUUGCAAGCUUUGUUAACAAUAAAUGUUUGGUCAGUCUUGGUAUGCCCCUACUUGUUGUUCUGUUUUGGUCUGAGUUUUAGCUUUGUUUCCAAUCCAUGUUGCACCGCUUUAAGAUAUAUUAGUCUCGAUGCAAUGUGUCUAUAUAUCAUUAUUAAUGAACUCAAAUACCUAUUCAUUGCCCAAGCGUGGAGAAGGCUAGUGUGUACUCUGUUUAUCUUAUGUUUGCACGUUUUAUUGAUGUGAAGUUCAGACAUAUUUACCUAGAUGUACAAGUUUGUAUAGUUUAGUUCGCUAUGUUGUUCUGUGCUUUUCAGUGUUCUUUUUUCUCCUAAUUCUACCUGUCAUCUUUAUGCUGAAAAAUGUGAAUGCCAAAAUUGACUCGUAACAAGGUUUUUUUCAGAUAGCGUGUACUCAUUUCCGGCUGCAUUUUGAAUGACAAUAUAAUAUAGUAUAAAUUCAUUUAACUAAAUUCAAGAGCAAGUUAUAUAAUUAAUCCUUAAGAUAUUUUGACUUAAGUAUAUAUGUAUUUUAUACUGUGACUUAAUAUAGUAUAUGUUAGAGCCCGCCUAAAGUUUUUACCUCAUGUUUUAUUGCAUGUUUUUUCUUUUCCUUGAUGGGUCACUUCAUUUCCUUGAUGUUUUUUCUUCCAACUGUUUCACUGUCGGUUUUGCUACAGAAAAUACAGAAUAUCUUUAUGUGACUCUAGGUUUAUAUAUAUAAUAAAUUUCUUUACCAACUUACUCAAAUUGUGUGAAAUUUGAUCUUAACUCUAAUUGAUAAUAACUUGGCUUGGUAGCUUUCAUUGGAUUUUUUGUCUCCAGCAUAUAAUUGAAGAAGUAAUUUAAUAGAUGAAUCUGAAUAAUCUCAUAUUGACUUCAUGUUUAUAACUUACGAUAUGAUUCUACUAUGUAGCAAGUGUGUAUGUAGAGUCUUGUUUCGUACUUGUUUGUUGUGAAACAUCAUAAUGUAUCUAGUUACACGUUUGUCAUGAAUUCAAAUAGCGGGUGUGCAUGCUGUCUAAUUUAUUUCAUUUCUACUUUGCUUUUCGUUUUUAGAUAAUAAAUUGGCAGCAAAAAACAUUUUGACCUUUUUGGCAUAGUUCCGGUGAUUUGUCCUCCUCCGUUCCGGUGAUGUUGGUAUCGUCUUCUGAAGCUUGCUGCUUUGGUUUAGGUCGCGGCUAAUCUAUUUUGCUUUGACUUCUGAUCUGAUUUAGGGUGCUGGCUAAUCCAUCAUGCUCUGAUUGCUAUAUGUUUUAGGGUCGUGGCUUACACUUUUUUAUCCUAAUUGCUGAUUUGAUUCAAGGUUGUCACAAUUAAUGGAGAUUAUUUUUGGUGAGAGCGUUGUGUUUGUUUAACGGAGAUUAUUUAAAUGUGGAGCAGUUCGUUUGCUUUCAUCUUUGUUCGUUACGGUGGAUUGGUCUUGGUCGGUUGUUUGACAUGAUUGGAAUGAGAGAUUGAAGGUUGAGUGGUUUGGAUUGGUCUGUUCCAUUGGUGAUUCAAUAAUGUUCUGCGUACAGUGCUUUAUCUUUUUGCGGUGAAAAACAGUGAUUUGGGAGACAGUCCAGACAGUCAAAUUUCUGCAGUUUUUCUGCAUUUGAUCCCGUUCUUUCAUGACUUAGUCAGAUUCAAUAAGAGUUAGUGGAAAAAGGUUUGCUAUGCCUAUCCGGAUAUAUUUGCUUUCGCCUAGCAGCCUAUGCAUGUCAGACCAUAUCAAAGGGAUUUUGCUAUGUUGUGUGCUGUGUUAUAAAUGUAGAGCUGGGAUAUGUACUUCUUGAACUGUGUGGACAUGCUCAUGGUGGAGAUUCUUCAGUGGCUAUAUUUAGGUCACACCUUUUGAUUGGUUUCAUUUCAAGAUCCCUAAGAAUAUCGGAGGUGCUUGUUUUGUUUGCGUUCUAGAUGUAACUUUCUUGGGAAGUACCCUCAAAGAACAUGGAAGUUUGCUUUUGAAGUAAUCUGUUUGAAGUUUCAAGUACAUUGAAGAAAGCUGCUGAACUAGUUUACUGCCUGCCAUGUUUUGAUUGGGUGACACAUCAAGGUCUAUUCAGAUGCUGAUUACUGUGUUGGAAUCUACCAAUCCUUCUGAUCUCUAGUUUGUGACUUUGAUUUUCUACAUGGAUAUUCAGUUGGGCUUCUGCCGGUUUACAUGCUCUGUCCAGUGUUGGAUUAGUCUUAGGCCUCCUUUGAUUUGAAGGAUUUUUCAUAGAAAAAACGUAGGAAUUUUCAUUCCAUAAGAUUUGCCACUGUAGCGAUGUUUGAUUUGCAAGAACCAGUAUGAAGGAAUACUGUUGCAAUCCAGAGAAACACUGUUGGUUUCCUGUGAUUUCGCAUGGAGUGAAACAUUGGGUCAUACCUCUUUUUUACACAAAGACCAAGGCAAGAGGGACAAAGUUGCAUACCAGCGCAUGGUUUCUCUACUAAAUAAUGCAUUCCUUUGAUUUCAGUUCCCGCAUUUCAAACGUUCCAUUUGUUUCAUAUUCCUAUAUUUUUCACUUUUUUUCAAUCCUCUGUUUUACAACUGCAACCCUAUAGAUUUUCGGUAUUCUUUCUAUUCCAGCGUUUUUGCAAUCAUGUGAAUCAAAGAGGCCCUUAGCUUAUUAUUAGCAUUCUUACUGUAAUUUGUAGUCAUGUUUUGUUCAUGCAAUUUAUGUUUUAUGCUGUACACAAUUGUCAAUUAUGCAUCCUGUAUGAUGUUAUUGGUGUAAUUAUUGAAUGAUUAUGGAUGAGCCCUUCAUCGUUGUUUGGUUGGGUGCAUAAAAGCUGUAAUAAAAUAGCAAGUGAAUUUCAUAGCUCGAUGUGUUUCUUUGCUGACAUUAAUACGUCUGUGUUCAUUCUCCUAAUCUCAAGAUAAUAAUUAUCACUUUUUGAGCUGUCAUUUUGAACUUGCUCAGUGGUUUUCAUUUCUGUGUCCGAUCACUUAAAUUGAUAAGUAUGGUGCUUGUAUUCUUUUUAGGUGCUGUCUUUAGUCAUGCACAAGAUUCCUUUUAAUGAUGACACAUUAGUUGCUUGUAUUUAAUCUUGAUUACGCAUCAUCCACGAGUGCCACAUUCUAUAGCUAUUUUAUGUAGUUUGCUAUUAUGCUUCAAGUAUAUUCGAAGGUGUUGGUCUUCUAUGUUUGCAUUAUUUACAGUCUGCUUUUACUCUUGGAGUUCCCUGUGAAUUAUUUGAUUUGUAACGCUUUAGUAUUCAAAGGCAAAUAUUGUGUGAUAAGUGUGAAUUAUGAUUUCAUAUUUGUUCUAAGCUGAUGUUGUUUACAAUUUAUUUCUAACCUGUCAGUGAAGUAAGAUUUUAGUUCAUGUGCUUAGGUCUACCAAUGUUUUUAGAGCUUAGAUAAUAACUAUCAAGAACAGUCUUAAGUUACGUUCUACCUUAACUUUCCCCCCUUAAUUGGUUGAUGUUAUAAGCAUGACACAUACUGUUUUUGCUUUGGUUCUACUUCCCCACUUAUUUGGUUGAGAUGAUAAGCAUGGUAUGCACUAUAAUUAUAACAUUUUAAUCUGUUUUGAGCUUACUUGAAAAUUUUAUUUGUCCCUGAUAUGUUGUGCUGUCAUUUUUAUCUCUUCGAUAGAAGGUCACAAUUAGAAAGGUGAAGGGAGGCCUGUAGUUGUUGCAUAAGUAUAUGGAUGCGGGCUUCUGUUUGUAUACUAGUUCUCAUCAAUUUAUAAACUAACCGAGUCAUAUCCUCUUGACCAGUUAGAUUAGUCUUAACCUGAUGUACUUUAUUUGUUGUGCUUGCUUCUGUUUGUAUACUAGUUCUCAUCAAUUUAUAAACUAACCGGGUCAUAUCCUCUUGACCAGUUAGAUUAGUCUUAACCUGAUGUACUUUAUUUGUUGUGCUUGCUUCUGUUUGUAUACUAGUUCUCAUCAAUUUAUAAACUAACCGAGUCAUAUCCUCUUGACCAGUUAGAUUAGUCUUAACCUAAUGUACUUUAUUUGUCUAGCUUGUUUAACCACUCUUAAAAUUCUCGUGUACAGUCUGCAUAGUCUAGUUUUGACACGUCUUCCCGAAUAAUGUCAAUAAUGUAUGCGUUGUUUCAAUGUUCCAAUUCCCACAAUCAUUUCCUUUUGCUUGGCAUAGAACCAUGGUUCUAUCUGAUGAAAUUAUUUAUGCAAGACUCCUGCUUCUGUCCACUGUUCACACCAAUUAUUUUAUGGUUAAUGUCAAGGUUAAAGUGAUGUUACGAGCCGAGUGAUGGUAUUGUUUAGUUACCUUGAAAUACAUUAUAUCUGUGUUAGAACUUCUACAUAAGCUUAUUUUUAAUUCUCAACCUUGGUGGUCAUAUAUAAGUCGGUAGCUUCGGAUGUGUUCCUAGUUUCCUAUAAGCUCGUUCUAUUUGGAACUUAAUGCUAUCCUUGUACUACAU